AUGGACAGUGAGGUACAGCGAGAUGUAAGGAUCUUGGACCUGAUUGAUGAUGCUUGGCAGGAAGAUAAGCUGCCAUACGAUGAUGUCACCAUUCUACUGAGUGAGCUUCCUGAGCCCGAGCAAGACAACUGCGGCACCACAGAGUCUGUGAAAGAACAGGAGAUGAAGUGGACAGACCUGGCCCUGUAGGGCUUCCACGAGAACGUCCCACCUGCUGGAAACUGA
rnacentral:lncRNA from 1 species